UAUUGCCUCUGUCAAAGGAGGUGCUGUCAGAGGGUCCCAGCAGGGGAUGUCUUGCGGGAAGUCCACAAGAAAGAAUGAAUGUUAUAUUCAGAGAGCACUUUGAUGCACUGCUCCUCUGCCUGGUCCCAUAUUUUGUGUUACAGAAGUGGGAUCCAAUAAAGUACAUAUAGAUGACAACUCCAAUAAAGAACAAUGGAGCAACUCAGCUCACGGAGCUCACUGAACCUUCCAGGAAGGGAGGUCAUACGGCACAGCAAUAGGCACUACUUGUCCAUCAGACAUUUAGUCAACAUCUACAUAAGCCUGUCACAGCCCCUGCCCUCAUGGAGUUUGAGCAAAGAAAACAUAUGUACAUAUACAUAACUGUAGAAAGUGCUAGAUGCAGUAAUGAAGAUUGAUGUGGACAGCGUUGGCACAGAGGAGCAUGAUCAACUCUGCUUUACAAAGGAGAUUACAACUUGAAAUAUGUUGGAGUUCACCAGACAGAAGGCAGUUGACGGACUGUCUAAACCAUGGACACUACAGAGUGGGACAGAGAGGGUCCAAGAAUUAGAUCCUUUUCUAUACUGAUGCAUCAAAGGAGUGGGCAUCUUUAAUACCUGAAGGUUAACUGCACACUGACUUAUAAAUUGCUAUUUUUCCUUCCCUGUUGUGAUGAUUAGCUUGGUAUUCAGUCCUUUGCAAUAAAAUAAAUAAGACAAUCUGGAACAGAUUGGAAAUGGAUUCUGCCUACUUGUGUUUGGGAACUAUGUAAAGCAUAUGGUGUUGGUUACAAAUCUCCGAAGCAGUUUGUUCAGAAAGCAACCGAGCCAUAUCAGUUCAGGCUUUGAUAUAAUCAGUUAUCAGCAAGCAUGCCCAAUGAGGAGUUAGCAUUUUCCUGUGAAAAGGCACUCUCGUCCUUGGCAUGCCAUUUGGAAUUAAGAGUUGCCCAUUUUAAUGGAGCAACCCAAGAUUCCAUGACCCCAGUUAUAAGAGAAGGUGCU